AGUGAAGCUCCGCCCCCACUUCCUGUUCAGGUCUCUCACUACACCGACAACUUGUCGGUGGGGAGAGCCCUUCUGAGCAUGCCUGGAGGCAGCAGGAGCCAGCCUGUGUAUGAGCAGGCUUUUUUUUCCAGGAGGGUGGGGGAUUCUGCUCUUUCUGAAGACUUUCAAACAUGGCACGUGUGACUGCAAAACACCAGGGGGAAGUGCCGGACACAGUGGAUUAAGGCGGUUGUCCUUUUUUACGUUUUUUGAAGAAGAUGAAGAUGUAGAUAUUUUUGGUCUAUUAUCACCUUCUGAGAAGGUUUCCCUCAUUCUAAGAUCGUGAGUGACCUGGGAAGAUAAAGGAGAGGAACAGCAGCCACCAGUAUCUGAUUCACAAUUACUUUCACAGCUGUCAAAAUCAGUGCCAGAAAAACUCUUUUAUCUUUAGUUUUUAGAAUAGAUCUAAGAUCUAUAAUAAGAUCGAAGUGUUACUUCUAUUCCUACCAGCAUUAUAUUUCUUUUGUUUAUUCAUGUAUUGUCUCCAAUUAUAGACUGAAUUAGUAUCAUAAUCCUUUUUGAAUUUAUUGGUCUUAAUGUCCAUAAUAUCUUUUCCAGUCUUAUCAAUUUUUAUUGUUAAUUUAUCAGAAAGUUUAGUAUAGUCAGAAAGUUUAGUUAAAUCUUUAUGGUUCUCUUUAAAGAUAGAGAUAUAAUUUUUCAAUUUAUCAUACAUUUGACGUUUGUUGUCUAUCAGAAGGUUCAUUAAUCUUAAUGAACAAUCGUAUAGAAUUAAGUUCCACUGUUCCAUGAAGUCAGUAUCUUCUGUGAGAGAGGUAGGAUACUUUUUAAUUCUCAAACAUCUAGGAAUCAUAUGUAAAGAUAUGUAUUUUUCAAAAGAAGCUAUUUCCCACCGUAGUCUCAGUUCUUUUAAGGAGAGUGUCUCUAGUGAAGAGAAAUAUUCAUGUACCGUAGGGACUAGAGUGGAAGUUUCCACUAGUUUUUAUUUUCUAGUAUUAGAUUCCAUGGCUAUUGUAGAAAAAUGGACAAAAAUGACCAACAAGUCUAAGAGACAACACAAUUAGAGCAGUAGGUUUACAUUGUAGCUAAUAGCUCAUUUUCUACUGCAAACUGUUUACACAUAAUGCUUAUUUUUUCUUUUUAAUUAAUUUUUAAGUAAUUUCUAUUUAGUUUCUUUUACGAUUGGUUAGUACUAAUGAUUCUAACUGCAUGUCCUAUCAUGAUUGGUCAGUACUGCUACUAUCUGUUUGUACAACUCUUGUAAUGUUCUUCUAAUUACAUGGCCCUUUAUGAUUGGUUAGUACUAACGAUCCUAAUUGCAUGCCCGUUGUGAUUGGUUAGCACUGCUUCUAACUGAUUGGUCAGCUUGACUUUAAAUAUUUUGUGUCUAAAGGAUGUUAUAUAGCCUAUGAUUAAGUACCCUGGAUGGUACAAAACACGUAAGGCUUCAUAGCAUUUAUGUGCAUUACUUAAAUAAAAUUACCGUGCUUUUACUCAA